CAGCUGGUGGAAAAGAACAAAAUACAGGAGAGUAAGACACAAUAAGCUGACGGCUCAAGCCCUCUUGGGCAAUUUUUUGAUCAAUUCUAUGACAGACAUCACUCUGUCUCAGAUGAUGGUUCAGGACUUGUAGUAAGCAAAUAUUUUGCUACUCCAUUUUAGAUAUAAUCUACAGUCUGGCCUGGGGCUGCUACAGUGGAAGAAUAGUGACUAUUACCCCUGAAUUUGGCUAAUGCAAUGUUAAAAGUUGAUAGCUUCAAUAGUCCCUUACUGUAAGGAGAAAAAAGUGAAACAUGCCAUCUUGUUAAUAGCUAAUUUCCACUUGCUGCCUAAGUAGCUUUUGUAGGCCCAGUACCAGUGACCUGACCUAAAAAGUUUCCUCAGUUCAGACAAGCAGAGUAACAGGUUUACAUGCUACCCUUCACUAAGAAACGAAAAAAAAAAAGGGAGGGACUGGGGAGAGAAAUGGCUCAAGUUUAAAAAUCCCAGAAGCAGGAUAUUUCAGAAGCAAAAAGAGUCAAGAAGUUUGAUUAUUUCCAAAGCUCUGAAAAAAUGAACUUCAAAAAAAUAAAAAACCUAACUUCUUAUGGCCAGAAUUUUGGAUUUUUCGGCUUGAAAUUACCAGAAGUGGGCUUUGUCCCAUCUAGAGUCAAACUGGAAUUGCAAACUACAAACAGAGUAAUUUAUCAAAGCUAUUAAAAGAGUUGCAAUAAGCAAAGUGCUAUCUCCUCAAAGUUUGCUUGCUUUGUUAUGGAAGUUCUAAUUUAAGAAAGCUACAUUGAGGUGCAAUGCACCUAAAUAAUGGUGACUAUGCUACAAGCUUAAGUGCAACAGGUCGCUCCAUUUUAUUUGCGGUAUCACUGUUUGCAAGGUGUUUCAGCUUUUAACAAUCAGAUAUUUUAAAACAUUAAAGGAGUGUGUUAAGCUUCAUUAGAAAUAUGGAGGAUGUUACCCACCAGGGCUAUGACAGUGGCACCAGCUCCAGCACAAGCCACAAUGAACAGGUGAUAGGACAUGUAGAACUAGAAAAGAAGAGAUUAAAACAAAUAUUUGAAUGAUUAGAGGAACAUACAAUUGAAUCUGUUUGCCAUUUCAAUGGAGAACUCUAACACGGACAAUUUUUGUAAUUCAUUUUUUUCUCUAUUGCUCUAUUUAUGUUAUGGUUAUUUAUACAACAGGUAGCCCAGAAGACUUAAAUACAGGGUUUUUUUUCUGGCUUUGAAUGGCAAGAAGAAAGAUGUUAACAAUAUUGAUGUUUGCCACUGUUGCAUAGAUGGUGGUUUUGGCAGGUUAGUAGAGGCUUCUGAAAAACGUAUUUAUCUUCCAAUAUGACUUUCUUUGGCUUCUGCAAUAGCCCUGUAGUUUGUAUUGUACCUCAUUUGUGUUGCAGAUGUUCUCUAAAAUUGGCCCACAAGCCCUGCCUGGUACAGCAUUCCAAGGGAUGAUACCUGAAACGAGGACACCAGAGCAAAAUAUUGGAAGAGGAAAACAAGUUUACCUGCUUUCAACUACCAGUGGGUUUGCCAAGUUUGAAUGAACUAGUCCAAAAGAAGAGAAUAUUUUCUCUGAACCUGCUAGCUAAAUUGAAACCGAAAAUAGUUAAGCCAGAAGCUUUUCUGCACAACAAACUGGACUUAGUCACCCCACGGUAGAGGCUGAAAAUAAUACAGAUGCUUACUUAAUAUAUUAUUUUAAUGUAACAUUUUCAAGCUUGAGUUGACCUCAAAAGUUAAAUAUUUUCUGCCCGAUUCUGCAUAUAGUGAAAAAAGCAGCACCCUUCCAAUAACAAAAAUUAAUUAAUUUGAGGACUGCUCAUUGUUGCAGCAUUUUAUAAUUUAAAUUUUAAUAGAUUAUUGUAAGUUUAGGUCUUAAAAUAGUUAGUCAUAAUUUCAAAUUUUAAAAAUCUGUUUAAAAUAAAUAAAUAAAUAUAUUCAAUUUUUUUGAUAUUUUAAAAAAAUAUCUAUUUCUACCCACUUUGUUCCUAAGCAUUUUAUUUUGAGAUUGUUUUAUAUUUAAACCUGAUAUAAUAAUAUGGGUAACAGCUACAAAAUCACUUGAGAUACAUGACUUGCCUGUUCAGUUAAACUGAGUGCAUCUGGAAAUAGGUUAGUGUAAACUGCAUGAAUUGGAAAAGUAAUGGCAUUUUCAGAGAUACCAUACUCUGCUUUUUGGUUCAUCUGAUAAGACAGACAAACCAACUGAAGAGAAGACAAAGAAAGAGGAUAAAGAAUUUAAUCAGGAUUAAAAUAAGUACCAUAUUGCCUGACAUCCACGCAGAUCUGGUCCCCUGAAGCUGUCAUAUUUGUCUGAAGUGAUUUGAUGACUUCACAAGUUGACCAUAUGUUAUAGAACAUAAAGACAGGCACAGCAGAAAAGCCAAAGACCCCAAGCCAGGCCACUCCAAGCACAUAUGUGAGGAAAACAAACUAGGCAGAGAAAACACACAUUUCAAGUUUAAUUCUCUGAAGAGAACAGAAUGAAUAUGCUCUGUCUUGGAGGAGGGGUAUGUAUAUUUUAAAUAAGCUCCUACAAGUCAUUUUCAGGAAGUUAAACAUUAAAAGCCAGUUGCCAUACAAUGUUUCCCUUGUAAAUAGGAUCUUUUGGGCAGCAGAAAAAUGACCAGGCCAGCAUUUCAUUUCUUCCUUCUGUCUUCUUUAAACAAAUACUUGGCUCAAAGGCAGUAGUGAAAAAGUAGGACUCAAAUGCUCCAUUUUUCAUCUGUCUGCUUGAACAAACAGGUUGGUCUUCUGAAGGAGCAGUUUACUAAUCACGCUUAGAAUUCAGAAGUUUAGAAUUCUUCUAAAACCAGGGCAUUCUGAUUUUAAGUUAAAACUAAUAAAUGCCAACAAAUCAAAUGUAACAGAUUUUAAAAAAAAAUUAUAUACCAGAUAUAUAAGAAAUUCUCUAAUUCUUGCCAGCCGUACACUAUACAGGGGAAUCAAAUCAUGCUUGGCUCUCUGGAGAUAUAGCGGGGUCGAUUCUGAACAUAAAUGUAAAGAAACCCAUUUUUGUCUCCCGAAAAAUUAAUCUGGGUUCCUAAAAUGAGAUGCCAGAAACCCUAACAGCUACCAGGGGCAUAUCAACUAAGACAAGCUGUUUUAAAAAUGUUUUAAAUUAACGUGACAAAAGAUCAUAAACAUGAGAUGAAAAAUCUAUAAUCCCUCCUCUUGCAGGGUAGAAUAUCCUUGUAGAGGAUGUCUGAGAUAUUAAACAGAUACUACACUUGAUUUUGGCUUUGGAAAGGCCCCUAAUUCUAUGUUCUGAAUUGUUUGCCAAGCUGAAUUUUGCUUUAGAGAGUAUCAUUAGAGAGGUGUGGUUAAAACACUGGUCUGCGCUUCUGGAGAUCUGAUUCAGUUCCACAAUCUAACGCAGACUACCUGCAUGACUUUGGGCAAAUCACAAUCUCUGUGCCUCAGUUCCCCGUGAGUAAAAGAGGAAAGUAAUGUUUCUUUUCUCACAUUUUCUUUGUUGUCUAUUUAGGUGGUGAACUCUGCAGGGUAGGAACUGUUUUGUUUUGUUUUUGUUUUUUUGGGGGGGGGGGGUUACUUCUGUGUAUAUUUAGUGUCUAGCCCAGUGAAGUUCUGGUUGAGGCCUCUGUGCAAUACCAUGAUACGUAUCAAUAAUACAUUUAGAAAGCACUAGUCCCGUAUCUCUAGCUUCAUUGAAACAUAUGUACUGAUUAUAUUGUAAACAUUAUAUCUAGGUACUGAAAAUACAUCCUUCUAGUUUGUAUUAAGGUGUCACUAGCAGAGGUGAAAAACUGGUUUUGCCAGACAAAGGGACAUAUUUUCAGAUGUUUGCCUAGAUUCCUAUGUAGAUUAAGCAUUGUAAAGCCAAUGCAAUGGAAACUCCUGUGGAAGUCAACAGGAAAAACAGGUCAACGCGGGAUGUGAAACAAACAAGAGCAUGGAAAGACACCUUAGAGCCAGCAUCCCUGGAAAGAAACCACAGGGAUCAUCCUCUCUUUGGGGGAGAAAACAGUGAGUUUGGGGGAAUAUAAGAAGCAAAAGGACAUUUUGUCAUCCUUCACUGAGGAAGCUAAUAGGACCAUGCUUUUUGCAUUCAUAAAGUUGGAUCCUGGCCAUGUGGGCUAGUGACGGUGAGAGGUUGCUUUACAUGAGAAACUGCUUUAGACAAGGAUUUUAACCUUUACAGUUAAGUUUAGACUGUAAGAAGUGUUAUACCAUUUGUCUUACAUAGAACUUGUUCUCAUUAUCCUUGCUCACUAGCUCUUAAAUCUUAAUCUUUGUAAAUAAACAUAUUUGUAUUCAUG